AAUGAUAAAAAUGCAGCGAAUGAGGUACGCGUUUUCAGUUCUUCAUAGUUAAAAUUAGUUUAAUGAGUGUUACAGGGAAAUUUAUAAAAUACCCUAAGAGCUCCGAUAAAUAGUACUCAUAACUAGAAACAAGAUUUCAGUUAUUUCUUUGAUUAAGGAGAAUUGGUCCCUUGUAUUAACAUUGAAAAACAGUGUUAUUAAAUCCGGACAGAAUCGAUUGAUCGGACUGAUAAAUAAAACCUUCAAUUUGUUUAAAUUUAUAAUUAGAUUGAAUAAGAAAG
rnacentral:misc_RNA from 1 species